GGGCGGUUAGCUCAGCGGGAGAGCAUCGGCCUUACAAGCCGGGGGCCACUGGUUCGAUCCCAGUACCGCCCA
rnacentral:tRNA from 1 species